rnacentral:lncRNA from 1 species
GGGAGGCACAAUCAUAGCCUCUCUGUCAAGAGACCAUGAAUAAAUAGCAUGUGACCUACAUCAUAAUGAACGCUAGAGAUGAACCAACCUCUUUCUAAGAGGCCACAUUCCCUUAGUGGAGGGCUUUCAGGAAAAUAAAACAUGCACACAGGGCUAACUUGCCCUCCUGUGCAGGAAGUAAUACCUCAAAAGGAAUGAAGCCUGAAGAAAAUCUACAGAGACAUUCACAGGGCUUUGGUCACUCAGCAAUAAUCAAGGUCAUUACCAAGCAUGCAGUGGGUGUCAAGUGGAUCACAUCAUAUUUAUUACAGUACAACUAGGAGUCAUCCAAGUCCAGUGGCAGGACAAAAGCCCAAAAGACUGGCAGUGGCCCAAGAUGCUGCAGAUGAUCUUGGCUCAAGGCUCCAUACUGCCUACUUCAGCUGCCUUCAUGGCUGAUGGAACAAAUUGUCCUCAUUUUCCCAUUCCAGAUAGGGGAAAUCUUCAAAUUGGGAUGAGGACACCAAGGUUCCUGGUGAAGUUGGGAGAACUAUGGAUCUGCCUUCAAAGGAUCUUGGUUCAAAUCUUGGCUCUGAUGUAUAUUACCUAUGUGAUCUUGGAUAAAUAAUAGAACCUUCCCUGAUCUCAGUUUUCUCAUCUAUAAAAUGGUGGGGUUGGAUUGAAUAAUUUCUAAAGUCUCUACUAGCUCCAAAUUUUGAACCUAUGAUCCUAUGAUAAACAGAAUUAAACUGAUUUAUUCAAGUAAGCCCCAAAGCCAGCAUUUAAACACCACACUUUUGUCUUCUAAUCUAGUACUUUUUUUUAUGACAGACAUCAUAUUGUCUCAGACAUUUAUUAUUCAUUGAUGAUGACAAUUGUUACAGCUGGCCCUUUGUGGUGUUGUAGACACAGAAUCUUGGAGCUGGAAGAAACCUAAGCAACCAUUUAGUCCAAAUUACACCUGAAAAGGAAUCCUUAUAACAGGACACCCAAUAAGUGGCCAUCUAUUCUCUACCUUAAGAAGGG